AACGAACGCUGGCGGCAUGCCUAACACAUGCAAGUCGAACGAGACCUUCGAGUCUAGUGGCGCACGGGUGCGUAACGCGUGGGAACCUGCCCUUAGGUUCGGAAUAACUCCCCGAAAGGGGUGCUAAUACCGGAUAAUGUCUUCGGACCAAAGAUUUAUCGCCUUUGGAUGGGCCCGCGUUGGAUUAGCUAGUUGGUAGGGUAAAAGCCUACCAAGGCGACGAUCCAUAGCUGGUCUGAGAGGAUGAUCAGCCACACUGGGACUGAGACACGGCCCAGACUCCUACGGGAGGCAGCAGUGGGGAAUAUUGGACAAUGGGCGAAAGCCUGAUCCAGCAAUGCCGCGUGAGUGAUGAAGGCCGUAGGGUUGUAAAGCUCUUUUACCCGGGAUGAUAAUGACAGUACCGGGAGAAUAAGCUCCGGCUAACUCCGUG
rnacentral:rRNA from 1 species